rnacentral:lncRNA from 10 species
GGAGAAACCUAGGUCAAAUCCAGUGCCAUGUUGGGUCUAGUUGGUCUUAGUCUUAGCUUGGCCCACACCCUGGUUGUGCAGAGUCUUACAGCCUCAAGCUUCUGCAGCUACUUCAACAGUUUUCCUUUUGCUAAUCAGGUUAAACUGCUGCUGGCAAUUUUCUAUUCUCCUGCAACCACCCUGAAUGACCCCUGUCUCAGGGGGACACAGGCACAGGCCCUUACAUGCUUACUCCUGGAAAGGAUGCAAGAAACCUAUGCUCACUUCUCAUAGCCCAAGGGACAUGCAAGUCAACAGUCAUAACUUUUUGAGGACACAUGUUUAUUGCUGCUGCUGGGGGCAGCUGCUCUUGUACCCACUUUCAAAUGGGCUGUGGAAGAGACAAAGCUCAUCUGGCUGCUGGGGCAGUGGCAUCCUCAUGCAAGCUGGUCUACUGGUGGCUGCCCCUGUGACCUGCUUCUGAAUGGCCAGGCAGGAAAAGUCUCCCACUGUGUUGCAUUUAAAGAAAAGAAAAAGAUGAAUUAAGUAAAAAGCUCUGCAAACAACUGAGUGUAAUUAUUGGAUAUGUAUAAACUUAUGCAUAUUUUCCUUUUUUUAAUUAUACUUUAAGUUCUAGGGCACAUGUGCACAACGUGCAGGUUAGUUACAUAUGUAUACAUGUGCCAUGUUGGUGUGCUGCACCCAUUAACUCGUCAUUUAACAUUCGGUAUAUCUCCUAAUGCUAUCCCUCCCCCCUCCCCCCACCCCACAACAGGCCCUGGUAUGUGAUGUUCCCCUUCCUGUGUCCAUGUGUUCUCAUUGUUCAAUUCCC